GAUAGGGGUGUGUGUGGGUGUAAGUCUUUUUCUAUGAAACGGUCCCAGACUUGGCUGUGUGAUCUUAAACAGAAUAGUUCCCUCCAAGUAAGUUGUCUCAUCUGUGAAGAUGGGAAUAAUAAUAUCACUCUCAUUGGGGUGUUGUGACAAUUAAUUGAAUUAAUCCUUGGAAAGUUCUUGACACAAUGCUUGGCACAUCAUCAAUAUUCAACAAAUGUUAGUUCUCUCUCCUUCACUUCAGACCCUCAGCAUAUAAAGCAAAAUGGGAUAAUGCCCGUGACCGUGUGCCAUAGCUGUAAAGAUCUAUCCAAAUUUAACAUGUUCUUGUUACAAAGCUGUAUUACUUGUAAAGUCAGAAAUCUAAGAAGUUAAUUAUUCUGAACACCAUGAGGCAUAACUUUCAAUUAUUCAAGAUGAUGAGGAAAAGCUUUGAAUGGAUCAUUUAGAACCAAGGGCCGCUGAUUUAAGCAAAUUAGAUUGCAUUGUAUUAAUAUGUUAUUAUCUAUUUCAAUUCUGCUAACCAUCAAUUAACACACAGUUGUUUUCAGAGAGGAGACAACAGAGGACAGUCAGCGGAGAGAUAAAGUCUCCUUAGCCCAGAGCCCCUUAUCUUCGACAAGUGCGGACUUCCAUGACUUGCCUGGACUGAGGCGUCUGGGUGUGACUUGGCUGUUUCUACCCUCUCGUGGCCUUCCUGGACGCACCCUAGUCACCCUAGUCGGCUUCUGGUGCUGACCACCCACUGUGCGCCUACUCCUUCUCUCCCAUCCUUAAGCACAAAAUGAAGGGCCCUUGGAUCCAGAGCAGCAGCAACCACAGCGGCAGUGCCAACGUCUCCGCAGGGCUUAAACAAAGCCACAUCCAAGACUAUUUUUUGAGGACAUUCCUCUUUUCCUGUUGCUGUUGGUUAUCAUCUUUAAGUGGACUUACCUGUUGAAAAAGUCAAGCUCUGGUGUAAAUGUCUUAGAAAGACUUGUAAACCAGAACAGGAAUUCAGAUAAUCUGCCAGGUCAGUGUGCUUGCAUGGACUUGUGAAGUUUGGAAAGAUGUGUGUAUGACCACAGCCCCAAAGAGCCAAGCAAGAUGACUGGAGGUUGCUCUGUUUCCAAACACCACGUCUGCACUUGAGAAAAAUGUAAAGCAGGUUUGAUUGUCAGGAUCUCGUGUACUCUGAUCCUACCUACAGCAUAUCCUCUCCCCGGAACUCAGAACCCUAAGCUCUUUCUCCAGGAGCUGCUGGGAGGGGCCCCUGGAUAUUCCUCGGGGAUGGAAGGCCAGCGUGGCCAGGCCGAUGACAAAUUGCUGUUUGGUAUCAUUAACAGGUAACGGCUGAGGUUGGCAAAACCUCUCUCCUUCCUCCUGCUCUCUUGCCUGUCGAUAUUUAUUGAUCCUCCAUAGCGUCUAGAGCUGAAUUGAACUCCCUAUUUUUUCUCUUUUCAGCCUCUCCCUCUUAACAGGGUC